AAUGAACGCUGGCGGCGUGCCUAACACAUGCAAGUCGGAUGUGCCGCAAGGUGCAUGGCAGACGGGUGAGUAACGCGUGGGGAACCUACCUCUUUGUGGGGAAUAACGUUCCGAAAGGCAUGGUAAUACCGCAUGAGACCGAUGGCUGGGAUGCUGUCGGUGAAACCCGGGGACCGCAAGGCCUGGGGCAAGGAAAGGGUCCUGCGUCGGAUUAGCUAGUUGGCGGGGUAACGGCCCACCAAGGCGUCGAUCAGUAGCCGGCCUGAGAGGGUGAUCGGCCACACUGGAACUGAGACACGGUCCAGACUCCUACGGGAGGCGGCAGUGGGGAAUUUUGGACAAUGGGCGAAAGCCUGAUCCAGCAAUGCCGCGUGCAGGAAGAAGGCCUUCGGGUUGUAAACUGCUUUUGUACGGAGCGAAAAGGUCCUUUCUAAUACAAGGGGCUCAUGACGGUACCGUAAGAAUAAGCACCGGCUAACUACGUGCCAGCAGCCGCCGUAAAAC
rnacentral:rRNA from 1 species